rnacentral:rRNA from 1 species
UACGUAGGGGGCAAGCGUUGUCCGGAAUCAUUGGGCGUAAAGCGCGUGUAGGCGGCCCGGUAAGUCCGCUGUGAAAGUCGGGGGCUCAACCCUCGAAUGCCGGUGGAUACUGUCGGGCUAGAGUGCGGGAGAGGCGAGUGGAAUUCCUAGUGUAGCGGUGAAAUGCGCAGAUAUUAGGAGGAACACCGGUGGCGAAGGCGCCGCUCUGGGCCGAAACUGACGCUGAGGAGCGAAAGCAUGGGUAGCAAACAGG